rnacentral:rRNA from 1 species
ACUGGAGUUUUAUCCUGGCUCAGAUUGAACGCUGGCGGAAUGCUUUACACAUGCAAGUCGAACGGUAGAGGGGGCAACCCCUUGAGAGUGGCGAACGGGUGAGUAAUAUAUCGGAACGUGCCCAGUCGUGGGGGAUAACGUAGUGAAAAUUACGCUAAUACCGCAUACGAUCUAAGGAUGAAAGCGGGGGAUCGCAAGACCUCGCGCGACUGGAGCGGCCGAUAUCAGAUUAGCUUGUUGGUGGGGUAAAAGCCCACCAAGGCGACGAUCUGUAGCUGGUCUGAGAGGACGACCAGCCACACUGGAACUGAGACACGGUCCAGACUCCUACGGGAGCAGCAGUGGGGAAUUUGGACAAUGGACGCAAGUCUGAUCCAGCCAUUCCCGCGUGCAGGAUG